GGCUCAAUGGUCUAGUAGAAUGAUUCGCGCUUCGGGAUGACUAAUCCGGUGCUUUAGUGAGCAUAUGUGUGAGGUCCCGGGUUCAACUCCCGGUUGAGCCC